rnacentral:rRNA from 1 species
UACGUAGGUGGCAAGCGUUGUCCGGAUUUACUGGGCGUAAAGAGCGCGCAGGCGGUCGAUGAAGUCGCGUGUGAAAGCCCCCGGCUCAACUGGGGAGGGUCACGCGAUACUGAUCGACUCGAAGGCAGGAGAGGGAAGUGGAAUUCCCGGUGUAGUGGUGAAAUGCGUAGAUAUCGGGAGGAACACCAGUGGCGAAGGCGGCUCACUGGCCCGAGUACUGACGCUGAGGCACGAAAGCGUGGGGAGCAAACAGG